CCUACGGGAGGCAGCAGUGGGGAAUAUUGCUCAAUGGGGGAAACCCUGAUGCAGCAACGCCGCGUGGAGGAUGAAGGCUUUCGGUGUGUAAACCUCUUUUGUUAGGGAAGAGAAUGACGGUACCUAACGACUAAGCACCGGCUAACUACGUGCCAGCAGCCGCGGUAAUCCGGAGGGUGCAAGCGUUAAUCGGAAUUAAUGGGGGUAAAGGGAGCGUAGGCGGGUUGGCAAGUCAGAAGUGAAAGCCUAGGGCUUAACCCGAGAACUGCCUUGGAAACUGAUAUUCUAGAGUGUGGGAGAGGUAAGCGGAAUUCUUGGUGUAGGGGUGAAAUGCGUAGAUAUCAAGAGGAACACCCAUUGCGAAGGCGGCCUACUGGAGCGUAACUGACGCUGAAGCGCGAAAGCGUGGGGAGCAAACAGGAUUAGAUACCCGUGUAGUC
rnacentral:rRNA from 1 species